rnacentral:rRNA from 1 species
GGGCCCGCACAAGCGGUGGAGUAUGUGGUUUAAUUCGAUGCAACGCGAAGAACCUUACCUGGCCUUGACAUGUCCGGAAUCCUGCAGAGAUGCGGGAGUGCCUUCGGGAAUCGGAACACAGGUGCUGCAUGGCUGUCGUCAGCUCGUGUCGUGAGAUGUUGGUUAAGUCCCGCAACGAGCGCAACCCUUGUCCUUAGUUGCCAUCAUUCAGUUGGGCACUCUAGGGAGACCGCCGGUGACAAACCGGAGGAAGGUGGGGAUGACGUCAAGUCAUCAUGGCCUUAUGGCCAGGGCUACACACGUACUACAAUGGUGUAUACAGAGGGUCGCCAAGCCGCGAGGUGGAG